ACCGAUUACAAUUUAUUGUAAAUUUAAAAUGAAUUAAAAUAAGUUUAUGAAUCGCAGAUCAUUUUGUGAUGAUAAGAAUGAAUUUCUGCCCUAUCAACUUUCGAUGGUAAUGUAGUGGAUUACCAUGGUGAUGACGGGUAACGGGGAAUUAGGGUUUGAUUCCGGAGAAAAGGCCUGAGAGACGGCCAUUACUUCUAAGGAAGGCAGCAGGCGCGUAAAUUACCCAAUCCUAAUACGGGGGAGGUAGUGACAAGAAAUAUUGAUAUUGGACCCAAAAGGGUACAAUGAUUGAAAUGAGAACAAUAUAAAAAACUUAACGACUAACAAUUGGAGGGCAAGUCUGGUGCCAGCAGCCGCGGUAAUUCCAGCUCCAAGAGUGUAUAUUAAAGUUGUUGCGGUUAAAAAAGCUCGUAGUUGAAUUCUGAAAAUAAUCUUGUGAUUGAUUUAACCGUACUAUAGUAAC
rnacentral:rRNA from 1 species